UACGAAGGGGGCUAGCGUUGCUCGGAAUCACUGGGCGUAAAGCGCACGUAGGCGGCUUUUUAAGUCAGGGGUGAAAUCCUGGAGCUCAACUCCAGAACUGCCUUUGAUACUGAGAAGCUUGAGUCCGGGAGAGGUGAGUGGAACUGCGAGUGUAAAGGUGAAAUUCGUAGAUAUUCGCAAGAACACCGGUGGCGAAGGCGGCCCGCUGGGCAGGAAGACACCGCAAGGUGUCGGCUGACGCUGAGGCGCGACAGCGUGGGGAGCAACAGG
rnacentral:rRNA from 1 species